GACGAACGCUGGCGGCGUGCUUAACACAUGCAGGUCGAACGGAAAGGCCUGCUUUCCCUUGUGGAUUGCGGGUGCUCGAGUGGCGAACGGGUGAGUAACACGUGAGUGAUCUGCCCCCAACUUGGGUAUAAGCCUGGGAAACUGGGUCUAAUUCCCGAUAGGACUGCAGGGUGGUGCCUGUGGUGGAAAACGAUUUUCUAGUGGUUGGGGAUGAGCUCGCGGCCUAUCAGCUUGUUGGUGGGGUAAUGGCCUACCAAGGCGGCGACGGGUAGCCGGCCUGAGAGGGUGGACGGCCACAUUGGGACUGAGAUACGGCCCAGACUCCUACGGGAGGCAGCAGUGGGGAAUAUUGCACAAUGGGCGGAAGCCUGAUGCAGCGACGCCGCGUGGGGGAUGACGGCCUUCGGGUUGUAAACUCCUUUCGGCCGCGAGGAAGCCACCUGGUUGGAAGGGUGGUGACGGUAGUGGUAGAAGAAGCACCGGCUAACUACGUG
rnacentral:rRNA from 1 species